CCUACGGGGGGCAGCAGUAGGGAAUUUUCGUCAAUGGGCGCAAGCCUGAACGAGCAAUGCCGCGUGAACGAGGAAGGUCUUCGGAUCGUAAAGUUCUGUUGAUGGGGAAAAAGAGCGGAGAGAGGAAAUGAACACGGUUUGAUAUUAUCUAUCGAGAAAGCCACGGCUAACUACGUGCCAGCAGCCGCGGUAAUACGUAGGUGGCAAGCGUUAUCCGGAAUGAUUGGGCGUAAAGGGUGCGUAGGCGGCCUUUUAAGUCUGGUGUGAAAG
rnacentral:rRNA from 1 species